CCAAGCCCUCCCGCCGCACCGUGAUCGUGGGGCGCGCCGUGCCGCCCGCACGCCGGGGGCGGCGGAGGCGGAAGG
rnacentral:tRNA from 1 species